AGCGGCCGCGGUAAUUCCAGCUCCAAUAGCGUAUAUUAAAGUUGUUGCAGUUAAAAAGCUCGUAGUUGAAUUUUGGGUUUGGCCGAUUGGUCCGUUCUUGUAACGAGUACUGGUCGGUUGGGCCUCACCGCCUGGUGAUGCGUAAUGUCCUUUAUUGGGUGUUGCGAGUAGCCAGGACCUUUACCUUGAAAAAAUUAGAGUGUUUAAAGCAGGCUUAUGCCGGAAUACAUUAGCAUGGAAUAAUAGAAUAGGACGAUGAUUCUAUUUUGUUGGUUUCUAGGAGCAUCGUAAUGAUUAAUAGGGAUAGUUGGGGGCAUUAGUAUUCAAUUGUCAGAGGUGAAAUUCUUGGAUUUAUUGAAGACUAACUACUGCGAAAGCAUUUGCCAAGGAUGUUUUCAUUAAUCAAGAACGAAAGUUAGGGGAUCGAAGACGAUCAGAUACCGUCGUAGUCUUAACCAUAAACUAUGCCGACUAGGGAUCGGGCGAUGUUGUUUCAAUUGACUCGCUCGGCACCUUAUGG
rnacentral:rRNA from 1 species